rnacentral:rRNA from 1 species
AACGAACGCUGGCGGCAUGCCUAACACAUGCAAGUCGAACGAGACCUUCGGGUCUAGUGGCGCACGGGUGCGUAACGCGUGGGAACCUGCCCUUAGGCUCGGAAUAACUCCCCGAAAGGGGUGCUAAUACCGGAUAAUGUCUUCGGACCAAAGAUUUAUCGCCUUUGGAUGGGCCCGCGUUGGAUUAGCUAGUUGGUAGGGUAAAAGCCUACCAAGGCGACGAUCCAUAGCUGGUCUGAGAGGAUGAUCAGCCACACUGGGACUGAGACACGGCCCAGACUCCUACGGGAGGCAGCAGUGGGGAAUAGUGGACAAUGGGCGAAAGCCUGAUCCAGCAAUGCCGCGUGAGUGAUGAAGGCCUUAGGGUUGUAAAGCUCUUUUACCCGGGAUGAUAAUGACAGUACCGGGAGAAUAAGCUCCGGCUAACUCCGUG